UACAGAGGUGCUCAAGCGUUUGUUCGGAUUCAUUGGGGCGUAAAGGGGUGCGUAGGCGGCGCGGUAAGUCGGGUGUGGAAAAUCUUGGAGCUUAACUCCGAAACUUGCAUUCGAUACUGCCGUGCUUGAGGACUGGAGAGGAGACUGGAAUUUACGGUGUAGCGGUGAAAUGCGUAGAUAUCGAUAAGGAAGACCAGUGGCGAAGGCGGGUCUCUGGACAGUUCCAUGACGCUGGAGGCAACGAAGGCCAGGGGAGCAAACGGG
rnacentral:rRNA from 1 species